rnacentral:rRNA from 1 species
UACGGAGGGUGCGAGCGUUGUCCGGAAUCACUGGGCGUAAAGGGCGCGUAGGCGGCGCGAGCAGUCGAUCGUGAAAGUCCGGAGCUCAACUCCGGAUCGGCGGUCGAUACUCUCGUGCUUGAGCACUGUAGAGGCAGAUGGAAUCCCGGGUGUAGCGGUGGAAUGCGUAGAGAUCCGGAAGAACACCGGUGGCGAAGGCGGUCUGCUGGGCAGUUGCUGACGCUGAGGCGCGACAGCGUGGGGAGCAAACAGG